rnacentral:rRNA from 1 species
UACGGAGGGUGCAAGCGUUAUCCGGAUUCACUGGGUUUAAAGGGUGCGUAGGCAGGUAAGUAAGUCCGUGGUGAAAUCUCUGAGCUUAACUCAGAAACUGCCGUGGAUACUAUUUGCCUUGAAUAUUGUGGAGGUGAGCGGAAUAUGUCAUGUAGCGGUGAAAUGCUUAGAUAUGACAUAGAACACCAAUUGCGAAGGCAGCUCACUACUCAAUCAUUGACGCUGAGGCACGAAAGCGUGGGGAUCAAACAGG